rnacentral:rRNA from 1 species
GGGGGGGGGGGGGGGGGGGGGGGGGGGGGGGGGGGCGGGGGGGGGGGCCCGGGGGUUGGGGGGUGCGCGAGUGGCGGACGGGUUGGUCACGCGUGGGUGGCCUGCCCUUGACUUGGGGGUAACUUCCGGAACCUGGGGCUCGUGCCGUGUAGGAUCUCCUGCUGCGUUUUUGGGGUUUGAACUUUUCGUCGGUUGGGGAUGUCCGCGCGGCUUAUCCGCUUGUUGGUGGGGUAGUGGCUUACCAAGGCUUUGACGGGUAGCCGGCCUGAGAGGGUGACCGGCCACAGUGGGACUGAGAUACGGCCCAGACUCCUACGGGAGGCAGCAGUCGGGAAUAUUGCACAAUGGGCGGAAGCCUGAGGCAGCAACGCCGCGUGCGGGAUGACGGCCUUCGGGUUGUAAACCGCUUUCGCCUGUGACGAAGCGGGAGUGACGGUAAUGGGUAAAGAAGCACCGGCUAACUACGUG